rnacentral:lncRNA from 1 species
GAGUGAGAAGAGAGAGAGAACACCGAUUUGGGAGGAAGAACGAUGUCUAGCAGUCGCCGGACUUACAGCAGCAGCGACGUCGCGGAGGGAGGCAGCGGCCGCUCGCCGGCGACGGCUGGAACGGCAGCCUUUGGGCGCGACAGCACCUACACAGGGAGCAGCAACAGAUCGAUUGAGAGGGGGGGAGGAUUCUGGAACGGGCGAGCAACAACAGAGCGCGGAGCCACGGAGGCGGAACU